rnacentral:rRNA from 1 species
AGCGAACGCUGGCGGCAGGCCUAACACAUGCAAGUCGAGCGGCCGUAGCAAUACGGCAGCGGCAGACGGGAGAGUAACACGUGGGAACGCGCCCUUCGGUUCGGGAUAACUCAGGGAAACUUGGGCUAAUACCGGAUACGCCCUUACGGGGAAAGAUUUAUUGCCGAAGGAACGGCCCGCGUCCGAUUAGCUUGUUGGUUAGGUAACGGCUCACCAAGGCGACGAUCGGUAGCUGGUCUGAGAGGAUGACCAGCCUCACUGGGACUGAGACACGGCCCAGACUCCUAUGGGAGGCAGCAGUGGGGAAUAUUGGACAAUGGGCGCAAGCCUGAUCCAGCCAUGCCGCGUGGGUGAUGAAGGCCCUAGGGUUGUAAAGCCCUUUCAGCGGGGAAGAUAAUGACGGUACCCGCAGAAGAAGCCCCGGCUAACUUCGUGCCAGCCGCCGCGGUAAUAC